UAGGGAAUCUUCCACAAUGGACGCAAGUCUGAUGGAGCAACGCCGCGUGAGUGAGGAAGGUUUUCGGAUCGUAAAGCUCUGUUGUUGGUGAAGAAGGAUAGAGGCAGUAACUGGUCUUUAUUUGACGGUAAUCAACCAGAAAGUCACGGCUAACUACGUGCCAGCAGCCGCGGUAAUACGUAGGUGGCAAGCGUUGUCCGGAUUUAUUGGGCGUAAAGCGAGCGCAGGCGGAAUGAUAAGUCUGAUGUGAAAGCCCACGGCUCAACCGUGGAACUGCAUCGGAAACUGUCAUUCUUGAGUGCAGAAGAGGAGAGUGGAAUUCCAUGUGUAGCGGUGGAAUGCGUAGAUAUAUGGAAGAACACCAGUGGCGAAGGCGGCUCUCUGGUCUGCAACUGACGCUGAGGCUCGAAAGCAUGGGUAGCGAAC
rnacentral:rRNA from 1 species